GACGAACGCUGGCGGCGUGCUUAACACAUGCAAGUCGAACGAAGUGGCGAACGUGUGAGUAACGCGUAAUCAACCUGCCCUUCAGAGGGGGACAACAGUUGGAAACGACUGCUAAUACCGCAUACUGAAGUAGGGGAUUGCGUCUGAUUAGCUAGUUGGAGGGGUAACGGGCCACCAAGGCGAUGAUCAGUAGCCGGUGUGGGAGGACUAACGGGCCCAUUGGGAAUGAGACACGGCCCAAGAUCCUAAGGGAGGCAGCAGUGGGUAAUCUUCCGCAAUGGACGGAAGUCUGACGGAGCAACGCCGCGUGGGUGAAAACGGCCUUCGGGUUGUAAAGCUAUGUUAAUCGGGACGCGGUACCGGAAUAGAAAGCAACGGCUAACUACGUGCCAGCAGCCGCGGUAAUUC
rnacentral:rRNA from 1 species